AUUACCGUCCCGUCCUCCAUAUGUCCCUGAUCUGUGUUGCUCCUCAGGGGCUGUGGCGGAUGCUUUGAAUUUGCAUCAGUGAUGGGAUUUCACCAUUGAUGGCGUUGCUUUCGGAGUUCUGCUGUUUCGAGUAGAAGCCUAUUUAUCAAGUACUCGUCCCGCUGCAAUUACUGUUCUGCGAUCGGCAUUUCAUCUAUUAUGGAGACAUAUACAAGCCAAAGGACAGGCUGACAGAGCACCCUGACAAGGGGGAGAACAUGAGGCGGAAAUGCUAUCACCGUGACAAGGACACAGUGAUUACACCGGUGACACCGUGGGCAGGACCAAAGGCUCUGGCGCCCAAACCCCUUCAUCAGUUAUAAUAAGAUCAGGGCAAAGGUCAUGUCCCCCCCCCCCUUCCCCCCGUACCCACUUUUUUUAUUGUUCUCUCUGUUUUGUUAGAGAGAUUUUGUUUAUAAAUGAUAACACCCCUAUAUAAGUGUUCAACACUCCAGCAGGAGAAGUAAAGACAGAAUAAUGAAGAGAGGGGUUGUUGGAAAGAAGGGAGAGAUUGGACACAGGGGGCCUUAUUCAAUUCAGCUUCGUACGUGGCCGCGUCUAGCAAUUUGUCAUUUGCAGCGCAUGCGUGGCGGGCUACAUAGGCAACAAUGCACUCAAGAGAACCGUCUCAUGUCUGUUUCAUGGGUCUGCGGCCAGAGUUACUCUCCAUUCGUGCGUCCGCAUUCCAGACUUCUCCUGCACCUGGUGUGGGGUAGGUGUAAUUAGGACAGCACAGAUGGUGUAAUGGUUAGCAUUACUGGCUCAUAGUCCCUAGCUGUGUGGAGUUUGUAUAGUCUCCCCGUACUUGCGUGGGUUUCCCCCGGAUACACCGGUUUCCCCCCACAAUCCAAAAAUAUGCUGGUAGGUUAAUUGGCUUCCAACAAAAUUAACCAUAGUGCAGAGGUUCUUAAACUGUGUGCCGUGGCACCCUGGGGUGCCACGAGGCUCUUGCAGGGGUGCUCUGGGUUGGUGGUCCAGGACCAAUUCAAAUUAUUUGUGGUCAUUGUAAUAGGCAAAACCAGUGCUGGUGGCUGCAAAUCAUAAAAUAUGUGGACACACAGAAGCCAAUCCUGUCCCUCACCACACAACUGACCGUAAGGAUGACGUAUAAACACAAUCUACUUAAUUUAAUAUUUCUCUCGAAAUUCAGAAUGCAACUUCUGAGCGCCUGUGAACAGCUCAGAAUCGGGCCGUUCUAGUAAGGCCAGGGCCGGUUAAGAUACCGGAUGUAUAAGGUAUAGUGCAACAUCUCAGCUGGGUAACGCUAUGUGAAUCUUAAUGCCAUGGGCAGGGCUGGCUCUACCAUUAGCCAGCUUUAGGCAGCUGCCUAGGGCGCUGUGAUCUGGAGGAGGGGAAGGGGGGCAUCUCUGAGUCUGCCCAUCACAAAUAAGGAAUGUCUCUGUCUAGGUUGACAGUAAGUAGGUUGACAUAGACUCUAGGUCAACGUUUUUCAUUUUUUUUUGUUUACUUUUUCAUAUUUUACGAUCCAUGUGGACUACAAUUGGGAAUGAUAACCUGUGCACAGUACAAUAAUUGGGGUUCCCGGUCACCAUUGGGAGAAAACAACACCCAAAAAGGUGAAAAAAACUCACGUCGACCUUAUGUCACUUCAACCUACAACAUGUCGACCUAGAAACCAUUUCGACCUACUUACUGUUGACCAAUAGUGGUCGACAUAGACACUGUCAACCUAAGUGUGGUCAACCCUACAUACCACACCCCUCUGAAAGAAACAUCCAUGUUGUACUUAAUGCAGGUGGUGGGUGUGGAACUUAUAUAUGUCACACUAUCAUCUGAAGGGCUGGGAAGUGGGUAUUGGUGGUGGUUUGGGACAGUAGGGUGAAGUUUUGCCUAGGGUUCCGAGAAACCGUGCACCGGCCCUGCGCCUAGGGAGAUCCAUGUGUGCUGGUUGAUUAUAUCGAUGGCCAAUUGGCAAAACGUGUAACAAUGGCCCAGAUUUAUCAAGCCUUGCAGAGUGAUAAACACGGUAAUAAAGUAGCAGCCAAUCAGCUCCUAACUGCCAUGUUACAGGCUGCGUUUGAAAAAUGACAGUUAGGAGCUGAUUGGUUGGUGCUUUAUCGCCGUGUAAUUUAUCACUCUCCAAGGCUUGAUAAAUCUGGGCCCAAAUCUAGAAGAUCCAGAUAUUCGGUACUAGGAGAGACAGUUACUGCUAUGGUACACACACUCAGCUCUCGUGGCCUUUGGCGUAAGGAGGUCCAUAUCAGUAUCUUGCCUAGGUCCCCAUGGGGUCUGUUUUGUUGCAGCGACACAACAUUCUGCAUCGAUAACCAAUGUUAAGCACUGUUGCAAAAAAAAUGCGCUCUAUGGUAAAUAAGGGGAACAUUUACUAA